rnacentral:rRNA from 1 species
AGAUUGAACGCUGGCGGCAUGCCUAACACAUGCAAGUCGAACGGGAGUAGCAAUACUCUAGUGGCGGACGGGUGAGGAAUACGUAGGAAUUUGCCCUUAAGUGGGGGAUAACCCGGGGAAACCCGGAUUAAUACCGCAUGACCUCGAAAGAGCAAAGUGGGGGAUCGCAAGACCUCACGCUUUUGGAGAAGCCUACGUCGGAUUAGCUAGUUGGUGAGGUAAUGGCUCACCAAGGCGACGAUCCGUAACUGGUCUGAGAGGAUGAUCAGUCACACCGGAACUGAGACACGGUCCGGACUCCUACGGGAGCAGCAGUGGGAAUAUGGAC